rnacentral:rRNA from 1 species
GACGAACGCUGGCGGCGUGCUUAACACAUGCAAGUCGAACGGAAAGGCCCUGCUUUUGUGGGGUGCUCGAGUGGAACGGGUGAGUAACACGUGAGUAACCUGCCCUUGACUUUGGGAUAACUUCAGGAAACUGGGGCUAAUACCGGAUAGGAGCUCCUGCUGCAUGGUGGGGGUUGGAAAGUUUCGGCGGUUGGGGAUGGACUCGCGGCUUAUCAGCUUGUUGGUGGGGUAGUGGCUUACCAAGGCUUUGACGGGUAGCCGGCCUGAGAGGGUGACCGGCCACAUUGGGACUGAGAUACGGCCCAGACUCCUACGGGAGGCAGCAGUGGGGAAUAUUGCACAAUGGGCGGAAGCCUGAUGCAGCAACGCCGUGUGCGGGAUGACGGCCUUCGGGUUGUAAACCGCUUUCGCCUGUGACGAAGCGUGAGUGACGGUAAUGGGUAAAGAAGCACCGGCUAACUACGUG